GCGAAAACUUUACAAUGCUGGCAACAGCGAUAAGGGAACCUCGAGUGCCAGGUUACAAAUCUGGCUGUCGAGAUGCCUAAAAAGCAUUUCAUAGCAAGGGCCGGGCAAGACCGGUGCCAGCCGCCGCGGUAACACCGGCGGCUCGAGUGGUAACCGUUAUUAUUGGGUCUAAAGGGUCUGUAGCCGGCCGGAUAAGUCUCUUGAGAAAUCUGGCAGCUUAACUGUCAGGCUUUCAGGAGAUACUGUCUGGCUCGAGGCCGGGAGAGGUGAGAGGUACUUCAGGGGUAGGGGUGAAACCUUGUAAUCCUUGAAGGACCACCAGUGGCGAAGGCGUCUCACCAGAACGGACCCGACGGCAAGGGACGAAAGCUAGGGGCACGAACC
rnacentral:rRNA from 1 species